rnacentral:lncRNA from 1 species
AGAAGUCUGUGGAAGGUGUGGGAUGGGAUGACAGCAUCAGAAAGAAUUGGGCAAAUCUGUCCCAGGACUAGGUCAGAAAAACGCCUCCCUAGGGAAGGUGCCACCCCAAACACGUGUUUCUGAGACCCCUUACCCGAAAUAAGGAGGCUGCCAAGCGAUACUUGAGGUUGGACCAGAUGAUGUUUUCUUGAGAGAAGCAGAAAACGCCAAGUCGGCCUCCACGCAUUGUGGUGUCUAUGGUGACGCCAGAGUCAGCCACCAACUCAGAGCCUUCAUAAAAUCGUACCCUGCGGACAACACGGCCGGAGGGGCCUCCAUGAAAUCCAACCCGGGGUUCCCCAUCCUGCGGUCACAAAAGUCCUGGCAUGUCCUUGGGGACUAUCCUAGGUCAGAAUUGCUCAGGGAAAUGAAGGCUCUGGGAUGCAGAACGGAGAAUGCUUUGCUUCUAGAGCAAGCCUCCCCUCCCCAGACCAGCUCCGUGGCUGGAGAAUGCACAGGAAGCGUGACCAUUCAUGGAGCUGUCCCUGAUUGGAGUGGAGGUAGACAUACAGCAUGGCGCCGUCUGGCCCUGCCAGUCACCUGCCAAAGACGGAAGGUUUCUCCCGGAGGGACUAUGACAGUCCCCACCUCUACACGAUGGCCCACCCCCAACAGGAGCGUCAAGGCAGACAGACUCUGGAAGUUGUAAGGAUGAGGACAGUUAGAGAUGACAGCAGGUACUCAUUGCUGGCAGGAAUCAGGCAUCAGAUCCAUGCCUUCUUCUUUGCUUACAUGUAAGAUCAUGUGAAUGUUGAUGAAAACACCAUCAGACUGGAGGCUGCGUCCGGCCACUCAGACAAAGAAGGAAUAGAAGUGAAGGAAGAAGGCUGGACUGUGAACCAAUGACACUGAGUUGCCCGCGCCACCGUGGAGGGCAUAGGGGACAGGUCAAAAGUUCCAGUGAAGUCCUGGGAGGUGGUGUGAGAAGUUUACUCUGGGGACAGGGAGAUGAUCUGCUUAAAAAGCAAGUUAAUUUUUCUUAUUGCUGUUCCUUUGGCUCUUUUACAAUGGAAUGACAAAGGAAUGGGUGCACAGAGAAAUGCUGGUGGCCUGCAUUGAGAAUUUCUGAUGAGGUAGGCUGAGAAACUGACAAAUGAGCUGUCAGCUCCGCUGCAAUGACACUUCAGGGGCCAGGUUUUUUUAGCUUUUAUAUAUAUAAUAUAUAUUAUCACACUGCACACUAUAUAUGUAAUAAAUAUUAUACAAUAUGUUUAAAAAAUGAAAAUUAAAAUUUUCAUCUUUAUUGAGGUAUAAUUGACAAAACUGAAUAUAUUUAAAGUGUGCAGUGUGAUGAUGUGAUAUACGUAUACAUUGUGAAAUGAUUACCACAGUCAGUUAAGUAACACAUCCAUCAACUGACAUAGUUACCUUCCUUUUUUUCUUUUUCAGUGAGAACACUUAAGAUCUGCUCUCUUAGCAGAUUUCAUAUAUAUAAUAUAGUAUUAUUAACUACAGUCACCAUGCUGUACAUUAGAUCUUUUUCAUCUUAUGCAGUUUUAUUGGCAUAACAUUUACAGGUCGUAAAAGACAUCCAUUUGAAGUAUAUAUAUUGUUUAAUGAUUUAAGUCACUCACAACCUCUUAGUUGCCAAAUCCAAUGCAUGCUUUCCAAUGACUUGUCUCGAUCUUUCAGCCUCCCUGGCUGUGCUAUCAGUUCGCUCCUUUUUCUGGCUUCUGCUCUUUUUCCUUGGCCUAGUCCUUCGUUUUUGGGGUUUCCUGGAGUUCUAUUUACUGUCUACUUUCCUUCUCUCUAGGUGGCUCAGUUAUUACCUUUACACCAAGAUCUCGCAAAUCUAUUUGCAGACUACUUUGUCCUGGUAAAAGCUGAGAAGCAAUAAAUCCCCAUCUAUUCCUAAGCAAUAUAGCAUUGCGGAGAAGAACUCAGGCUCUGUAGCCAACCUGGAAGAUGUGUGACCUUAGUCUAAAUACGUAACAUUUCUUUUUUUUCUUUUUGGAGACAGGGUCUCCCUCUGUCACCCAGGUUAGAGUGCAGUGGCGAUCACAGCUCACUGUAGCCUCAAACUACUCUUGUACCCAAAUGAUCCUUCGGCCUCAGCCUCCUGAGGAGCUGGGACUAUAGGCAUGCUCCACCAUGCCUGGACUUAAUGAUGUAAUAUUUCUGUCCCUCAGUUUCUUCAAUUGUAAAAUGGGGAUAAUAAUAAUCCCUGUUUAUGAGGUUGUUGUGAGGAUUAAAAUAAGUGACUUGAUAAAUGUAAAGUGUUUUUACUUACAAGGAAACAAGGAACCUAGAGGCUGGAUAACUUUCAAAUAGUCAUACACGUAAUCAGUAGUUCUUUUCUUGAUAGUCAACUCUGGUACAUCUCUCAUCUUGGACACAGUUUGACAGGAACUUUCAGAAAUAAAAC